UGGCCACAUCACAUUGAUACACCAAUUCCCAUAUGAUCACUGAAGUUAAGCAAUGUCAAGCUUGGUCAGUACCUAGAUGGGUGACCAAUUGGGUAUACCAGAUG